UUGUUCUUUGGUCUUUCAGCCA
rnacentral:miRNA from 2 species